AGGAAUAUUUCCUGGAUAAUCCUAUGUAUGUUCAAAUGAAUAUACAGUCUUAUAAAAAAAAUUGGGAGUUUGUUCCCGUCAUAUUUUGUAGUUGCCAUAGAGUCAUAGAACUUAUAAGUUCAUCCUUUAUUUCUAUUAUUUAGUUCAGAUAGGCUCACAUUACCGGAUGAGGGUAGAUGUAGAGCUAAUUUAGUUUAUUUACUUAGUAUUAGUGAGAAUUGGUCCAUAAACCUUCCUGAUCGUUCUUCUUUGGAUAUGCUUUUGUGAAUCUGGUGUCCUUUGAUAGUCCGAUUUUGGAUGAAGUGUCCGAUUCUUCACUUAUUUAUUUAUAUGAUUUAGUAUUGAUGUGAAUUGGUCCAUAAAUCUUCCUGGUCGUUCUUCAUUGGAUAUGAUUUUGCGAAUCUGGUGUCCAUUGAUAGUCUGACUUUGGAUUGAGUGUCCGAUUCCCCAUUUAUUUUGGUUAAUGUGUUUUGGAUUCCUUUGGUAUGUUUACUAUUUGUAUUAUUCGGUAUUGGUGAGAAUUGUUCCAUAAAUCUUCCUGAUUGUUCUUCUCUGGAUAUGCCAUUACGAAUCUGGUGUCCAUUGUUGGUCCAAUUUUGGAUUGAGUGUUCGAUUCUUCACUAAUUUUCUUGAUUUAUUUGGUAACUUUAGUAUAUUUACUUGCGUUAUUGUACGAUUUGGCUCACACCUUUGCCUGGUUGUUCGUCCUUGGAUAUACCCAUUAUAAAUCUGAUGUCCAUGGAUAGUUCAACUUUGGAUUUGCUGCCAAUUCGACACUUAUUUGUCAUUAUAAAUUUAGUCUCAUAUUUAGUUUGUGUGUCUUUUACGGCAAAACCUCAGUCGCUUUUAAUAGGACUUCGGGUGAUCUUCUGCAAUUCAGGUUAUUUGCUGCAGUGCUUUCCCUUGAUCCUUAGUUGUGGUUAUUUGUAAUCUUGCGAAUCAACGAUAAAUAAUACACUACUACUACUUUAGUUUAAUAUUUAGAGCAUAAAAAAAAAUUUGGAUUAAAUUUUUUUUUCUUCCAGUAGGAGGGGAAUGUGACGUUCCAUCACUUAUUUAAUUAAUUAUUAAUGGGAACACCUUAUUUAAUUAUUGUCAAAAGUAUUUUCUUAGAAUAUUAAAAACCAGUUCGUACAAAAUUCCCUUGGUGACGUCAUACUGGGUGUAUGGUGGUCACAUUGAUAUUUCUUGAGGUUGGUACUGAACACCGGCCGCUAGCUGUCACGAAGCCGGAACGGUGAAGAGGGAAGCAUUGGUCUUGGGAGUGUCAAUAAGAAUGGCGGCGUGAGUUUUCUAAUUAUAUAAUUAAAAUAAGUUAUUUCCAGUUGCAUAGUUCCAUUAUUGUUGUUGCAAGUUAUAGAAAGUUGAGUGAAUUAAAGUGACGGAAUAAUGAAACUGUAAGAAAAAGGAUCUCACACCGCCAUUCGGGAGAAAUCUAUUAUUACCGCUGGUAAACCCUCUCUAACACCGAGAGCAGACACUUCCAAGAUUCAGUCAACCAGGGAACAAGUCUAAGGAUACAGUCCCAUUUGUUUUGUUUUGGUUCAUCAUCCUGCAUCCUCCGAGGGACAGGUUCAUUAGCUAUUGGGCAGUUGCACCACUUCGGUGUUAACUUCGUACCACGGAUUUGGUACCACACACCAAGGAUCAGUGUUGGAACGCGUGAAAAGGGGUUUGUUUUGGGGGACAAUUAUUCAUACUAGUUAAAGACUUAUACUGUUUUUUUUUGUAAUAUUCAGGAUAUUUAAGUUAGAUACACAUAAGUUCAUAAUUUAAUUACACAUAAAUAUUUUUUUUCUUUCUCUACAAAUUUAAGUACAUUUUAGUUAUAAUAACCAUGCCUAACAGUUAGUACUGUUCCCCCAAAUUUAUAUAAUUCUUGGUAGAAGUUUCGAGCUCGAAGAUUCUCCCCAUACAUGUUCUUUCCCCUUGGUUCGUAUUAAUUUUAGACUUGUUUUCUCAGUUAAUUUAAAAAUAAUAUUAGUUCAAUUCACCUAAAUUUAAAAUCAUUCAACUUAUUUCAUAAUUUUUCAAUUUGUAUUAGAUUUUUGUAAAUAUUAUUUAACGUUAACUAUUAAUUUUUUUUAUAUUAUAUUUGAAUAAAUCCCUAGUACCCAUCCCCUCAGGAAGGUACUAGUUUUACUUGCGAUUAUUAUUUAGAACCACUAGUCAGAAAAGGAUCUUUUGUAUCCAGUACUAAGUUGGUUCAUUUAGGGACUUGUUACCCGUCAACACAUUGAGAGUUGUAAAAUAUAUAUUAUUUACAUUAGGUAUUUUCCUUAUUCUAUUAUCAGGUAGUAUUCAAUUAGGGUGUACGUAUUAAAAUCGUACAAGUGUUAUUUGGUGAAGGGUUCAUACUAAUCUAGGUGUAAGUUGUACUUUCUGUAUUAGAGGUACCCUUAUUCAGAUUUUCUAACCUUAUUAAGAUUAUUCUUAGAUCACAUUUGUGUGAUAAUUUUUUAAUUGACUUUCACUAGUAUCAUUUUUUUGUCAUGUUAGAGUCACAGACUAGUUACUUGUCUUAACUCGGAGAUUGUGAACAUCUAGUAGUUAAAUUUAAUAAAUAUAUAUUUAUUGUG